UACGUAUGGACCGAGCGUUGUCCGGAAUCAUUGGGCGUAAAGGGUUCGCAGGCGGCAUGGCAAGUCCGAUGUAAAAGGCGAAAGCUCAACUUUCGUAAGCAUCGGAAACUGUCAAGCUUGAGUGAAGGAGAGGCAAGUGGAAUUCCUAGUGUAGCGGUGGAAUGCGUAGAUAUUAGGAGGAAUACCGGUGGCGAAGGCGACUUUUUGGCCAUAAACUGACGCUGAGGUACGAAAGCGUGGGUAGCAAACAGG
rnacentral:rRNA from 1 species